UACCUGCCGUGGAGCAUCGCCAGGGCUGACUUCCCUCACAACGGCGUCGACUUCCCCGGCGGCACGCCCACCGGCAGGUUCAGCAACGGCCUCAUCGGCGCGGACUUCCUGGGUGAGUGAGUACUGAUAAACUGCAAUGCAAAUAGGGUUACCGUACUUAGUCAUAAUGCGUGUGCAGACAUCUCACAAGGAAUGCUGCAAAGAGACUGAUAAGUUUACAGCAGAUUUCUGACAGAAAAAAAUUAUGAUGAUAAGGUAUUUGUUUCGAUAAAACUUGCAGCCAUUGCUAUGGGGUUCAGUGGGAGCCCACCACCUUACCUGUCUCUCAUGGCGGCCACUGCUGCCAACAGCAGCAGUGAGGUGACGAGGAACACGACGAUGGCAGCCUACAUGAGCGGAGCCAACUUCGCUUCUGCAGGCUCUGGUCUUCUUGAUUCCACAGUAAGUCUAUCUCUACAUUUGUUUUCACCUUGCAUCAUGUCUUUUGGUUUGGGACUUAAAAUCUUGCUUCAACAGAUACUAUAUUCUCAAGUAAAGAAUCAUGCUCCAGUUUCUGACUAGACAAACCUCUCAAUUAGAUUAGUUUCGCUGUCUAGGAAGCUUAUUAGGCAAUUUUAUUCUUGAAACAAAAGGCAUUUUAGCAAAUUUAGGCUUAUUAGGCUGCCUUUAUGGUACACUUGAAGUACUAUGUAUGUGUAAUGUGUGCCAUCAAUGCACACACUUCAGAUAAUUUUAAUUGUAUCCCGUACAUCAAGUGAUGAGUUACUACAUAAAGUUGAAAAACUGUCCACAAAAGUUCAACCAUUUAUAACAACUUUUGUACUCAGCUCAUAAAUUUAGUGAAGCACGCUGGGGCUUCUCAAGACUUUUCUCGUUUUCAAAUCAAAUUAGUAGUACAAUCAGCAUUACCAAGUAACAAUAUGAUUACUUUUUCAAAGAAAAGCACUAACACCAAAGUUCAAAUGGUCAUUGCGUCAGGGUUCUACAAUCAGCAUGACCCAGCAGAUAGGGUACUUCUCAGACCUUAAAGACCAGAUGUCAACCAGACUGAGUGCUGGCAGAGUGGCGGACUCGCUGUCGAAAUCUGUCUUCCUCAUAAGCGCCGGGUCGAAUGAUGCAUUUGAUUUCUU
rnacentral:lncRNA from 1 species